rnacentral:rRNA from 1 species
CCGUAGGUGGAUUAGUAAGUCAGAGGUGAAAGCCUGCAGCUCAACUGUAGAACUGCCUUUGAUACUGCUAGUCUUGAGUCAUUAUGAAGUGGUUAGAAUGUGUAGUGUAGCGGUGAAAUGCAUAGAUAUUACACAGAAUACCGAUUGCGAAGGCAGAUCACUAAUAAUGUACUGACACUGAUGGACGAAAGCGUGGGGAGCGAACAGGAUUAGAUACCCCUGGUAG